GAUGAACGCUGGCGGCGUGCCUAAUACAUGCAAGUCGAGCGAACGGACGAGAAGCUUGCUUCUCUGAUGUUAGCGGCGGACGGGUGAGUAACACGUGGAUAACCUACCUAUAAGACUGGGAUAACUUCGGGAAACCGGAGCUAAUACCGGAUGAUAUUUUGAACCGCAUGGUUCAAAAGUGAAAGACGGUCUUGCUGUCACUUAUAGAUGGAUCCGCGCUGCAUUAGCUAGUUGGUAAGGUAACGGCUUACCAAGGCAACGAUGCAUAGCCGACCUGAGAGGGUGAUCGGCCACACUGGAACUGAGACACGGUCCAGACUCCUACGGGAGGCAGCAGUAGGGAAUCUUCCGCAAUGGGCGAAAGCCUGACGGAGCAACGCCGCGUGAGUGAUGAAGGUCUUCGGAUCGUNAAACUCUGUUAUUAGGGAAAGACAUAUGUGUAAGUAACUGUGCACAUCUUGACGGUACCUAAUCAGAAAGCCACGGCUAACUACGUGCCAGCAGCCGCGGGUAUACGUAGGUGGCAAGCGUUAUCCGGGAUUAUUUGGGCGUAAAGCGCGCGUAAGCCGUUUUUUAAGUCUGAUGUGAAAGCCCACGGCUCAACCGUGGAGGGUCAUUGGAAACUGGAAAACUUGAGUGCAGAAGAGGAAAGUGGAAUUCCAUGUGUAGCGGUGAAAUGCGCAGAGAUAUGGAGGAACACCAGUGGCGAAGGCGACUUUCUGGUCUGUAACUGACGCUGAUGUGCGAAAGCGUGGGGAUCAAACAGGAUUAGAUACCCUGGUAGUCCACGCCGUAAACGAUGAGUGCUAAGUGUUAGGGGGUUUCCGCCCCUUAGUGCUGCAGCUAACACAUUAAGCACUCCGCCUGGGGAGUACGACCGCAAGGUUGAAACUCAAAGGAAUUGACGGGGACCCGCACAAGCGGUGGAGCAUGUGGUUUAAUUCGAAGCAACGCGAAGAACCUAACCAAAUCUUGACAUCCUUUGACAACUCUAGAGAUAGAGCCUUCCCCUUCGGGGGACAAAGUGACAGGUGGUGCAUGGUUGUCGUCAGCUCGUGUCGUGAGAUGUUGGGUUAAGUCCCGCAACGAGCGCAACCCUUAAGCUUAGUUGCCAUCAUUAAGUUGGGCACUCUAAGUUGACUGCCGGUGACAAACCGGAGGAAGGUGGGGAUGACGUCAAAUCAUCAUGCCCCUUAUGAUUUGGGCUACACACGUGCUACAAUGGACAAUACAAAGGGCAGCGAAACCGCGAGGUCAAGCAAAUCCCAUAAAGUUGUUCUCAGUUCGGAUUGUAGUCUGCAACUCGACUACAUGAAGCUGGAAUCGCUAGUAAUCGUAGAUCAGCAUGCUACGGUGAAUACGUUCCCGGGUCU
rnacentral:rRNA from 1 species